rnacentral:lncRNA from 1 species
CGCCUCCCGGGUUCAAGCGAUUCUCCUGCCUCAGCCAAGCUGGGACUACAGGCGUGCACCACCACUCUCGGCUAAAUUUUUUUUUUUUUUUUUUUUUUGUAUUUUUAGUAGAGAUGGGGUUUCACCACGUUGACCAGGCUGGUCUCCAACUCCUGACCUUGUGAUCUGCCUGCCUCAGCCUCCCAAAGUGCUGGGAUUACAAACAUGAGCCACCGCGCCUGGCCGGCAUACUGCAUUUUGAGUAAAAUAAGUAAAUUUGAAAUAGUUCUAAUAGAAUAGGAGCUAAAGGUAACUAAAGAAAUAUGACUGUCACACAGUACUGAAAGUCCAGUUGAGGCUGGUAAACGUUUAUGACUGUACUAUAUACUUAAAAUUGUCUAGCUUUUUUACUUUUUUCCAUUAGUGUACAGCUACCCAAGGACAGGCACAUGGUGGAUACCUGAAUUCAUAUAAGGUACAAUACAGAAGAGUGCACAGGAAGGACUGUGGCACAAAGCAAUUCAAGGUAUAUGUCAGAUGGCCAGGCGAGGUGGCUCACACCUGUAAUCCCAGCAUUUUGGGAGGCCGAGGCGGGCAAUCAUUUGAGGUCAGGAGUUUGUGACCAGCCUGGCCAGCGUGGUGAAACCCUGUCUCUACUAAAAAUACAAAAAUUAUCUGGGCAUGGUGGCGUGCACCUGUAAUCCCAGUUACUCUGGAGGCCAAGGCAGGACGAUCACUUGAACCUGGGUGGUGGAGGCUGCAGUGAGUUUUGAUGGCACCAGUGCACUCCAGCAUGGGUGACAGAGUGAGACUCCACCUCAAAAAAAAAAAAAAAAGCCAAAGUGUAUGCUAGAGAGCAGACAAAAUGUAAGUUAAAUGGGGAAGAAAAAUGACAGAAGACAGCUGAUGGAUAGGGACAAAAUGGGUCAAUAUAUAGGAGAACAUAAUGAUGUAGAAAAAUAACUGAAAGAACAAGAAAGAUGAAAGGACAGGAAAUAUACUUAUCUUUAUCUUUCAUUAAUUUAGGGAAAUAAGGCAAAUCUAUCUUGCAUGCUGUUAUAAUCUCAGUAACUAGGAGUGAAAUAGGUAUGAAGUAUAAGCAUGAAAGACUAUGUACAAGGACAUUUUUGACCAUACAGGUUGAGAAUCCCUUAUCCAAAAUGCUUGAGAUCAGAAGUGUUUUGGAUUUUGGAAUACUUGCAUUACAUUUAUACCAGCUGAGCACCCCAAACCAGAAAAUCUGAAAUCUCAAAUGCUCCACAUAAGCAUUUCAUUUGAGGGUCAUGUCAGUGCUCAGUAAAUUUCAGGCUUCAGAUUUGGAGUGCUCAACCUGUGUAAGUUGUUAACACUGACAUAAUGAAGAUAACCUAAAUGUCCAUCAAAAGAAAAGUUAGAUAAACUAGUAUAUCCAAGUUAUGGAAUACUACAUACUGACUUUUGAAAGAGAAUAAAAUAAAUCAAAAAAUGAUUAGCAGACUCAUGGGCCCCUUCUGCUAGGCCCCAAAUGACAUUCAAGACCAAAGAUUUUGACAUCUAUAUGUAAUUAUAAUAUAUUGCAUUAUUAAGAAUUACUAAAAAUUUGCAUGCAUAAACUAAAAUGGGCCCAUUUCCAGUUUACCGAGGACUCUAAUUUAGCAUUCUACUAAAAAGUCUCGGAAAGGCACAGCGGCUCACGCCUGUAAUCCCAGCACUUUGGGAGGCCGAGGCAGGUGGAUCACCUAAGGUCCGGAGUUCAAAACCAGCCUGACCAACAUGGCGAAACCCCGUCUCUACUAAAAAUACAAAAUUAGCUGGGCGUAGUGGCACAUGCCUGUAAUCCCAGCUACUUGGGAGGCUGAGGCAGGAGAAUCGCUUGAACCUGGGAGGCAGAGGUUGCAGUGCACCAAGAUUGUGCCGUUGCACUCCAGCCUGGGAAACAAGAGUGAGACUCUGUCUCAAAAAAAAAAUUAAAAAAAAAAAGGCUGGGCACAGUGGCUCACGCCUGUAAUCCCAGCACUUUGGGAGGCUGAGAUGGGCGGAUCACCUGAUUGGGAGUUCAACACCAACCUGACCAGCAUGGUGAAACCCCGUCUCUACUAAAAAUACAAAAAAAUUAGCCAGGUGUGGUGGCGCGUGCCUGUAAUCCCAGCUACUUGGGAGGCCGAGGCAGGAGAAUCGCUUGAACCUGGGAGGCGGAGGUUGUGGUGAGCCGAGAUCGCGCCAUUGCACUCCAGCCUGGGCAACAAGAGCAAAAACUCCGUCUCAAAAAAAAAAAGUGUCACUACAUGGGGCUGAGCAUGGUGGCUGAUGCCUGAAAUCUCAGCACUUUAGGAGGCCAAGGGAGGAGGAUCACUUGAGCCUAGGUGUCCAAGGCUGCAGUGAGCUAUGAUUGCACGACUGCACUCCAGCCUGGGGACAAGAGCAAGACCCUGUAUCAAAAAAACAAAAAUAAACAAAAAGGUCUGACAGCAUGCAAC